rnacentral:tRNA from 1 species
AGUAAGAUAAUGAAUUAUCUUGAUAAGAUAAAACACCAAUAAGGGAUAUUACUA